GUCGAGGAAAGUCCGGACUUCACAGAGCAGGGUGAUUGCUAACGGCAAUCCGAGGUGACUCGCGGGAAAGUGCCACAGAAAACAGACCGCCAUCCUCGUGGUGGCAAGGGUGAAACGGUGCGGUAAGAGCGCACCAGCAUUCCGGGUGACCGGGGUGGCUAGGCAAACCCCACCCGAAGCAAGGCCAAGAAGGCCGCACCGAAAGUGCGGCCGCGCAGGCGUUCGAGGGUUGCUCGCCCGAGCCUGCGGGUAGGCCGCUCGAGGCACCCGGCAACGGUGUGUCCAGAUGGAUGGUCGCCGCCGUGCC
rnacentral:RNase_P_RNA from 2 species